ACAUGGGGCCAAAUCACCCUGAGUGGGCAAAUUUUCGUCAGAUUUUAUAAACGCAGCAGGCUUGAGCCUGGUUAGUACUUGGAUGGGUGACUGUCUGGGAAUACCAGAUGUUAUAGGCU
rnacentral:rRNA from 1 species